GAUGAACGCUGGCGGCGUGCCUAAUACAUGCAAGUCGAGCGAACGGACGAGAAGCUUGCUUCUCUGAUGUUAGCGGCGGACGGGUGAGUAACACGUGGAUAACCUACCUAUAAGACUGGGAUAACUUCGGGAAACCGGAGCUAAUACCGGAUGAUAUUUUGAACCGCAUGGUUCAAAAGUGAAAGACGGUCUUGCUGUCACCUAUAGAUGGAUCCGCGCUGCAUUAGCUAGUUGGUAAGGUAACGGCUUACCAAGGCAACGAUGCAUAGCCGACCUGAGAGGGUGAUCGGCCACACUGGAACUGAGACACGGUCCAGACUCCUACGGGAGGCAGCAGUAGGGAAUCUUCCGCAAUGGGCGAAAGCCUGACGGAGCAACGCCGCGUGAGUGAUGAAGGUCUUCGGAUCGUAAAACUCUGUUAUUAGGGAAGAACAUAUGUGUAAGUAACUGUGCACAUCUUGACGGUACCUAAUCAGAAAGCCACGGCUAACUACGUG
rnacentral:rRNA from 1 species